UAAAAUCGCCUGAAACGCAUGCUCGUUAAUUUUGGUGAAAAAAGUUGUUAGAAAAGUUUUUUUUACCAAAAACUUACAUUUUUUACGCAUUUUUGGUAAAUCAUUUUCUUAAAAUCGCUUGAAACGUACGCUCGUUAAUUUUGGUGCAAAUCGGUGAAAAAAAAAAAAAAUUCUAAGUGCAAAAGUCAUGAAAAUCGAAAAAGAAUUACGAUUUUACAUCACUAAAACGUCCCCAAAAUACUUCUAAACACCUUCACACUGCUUACACCGUUGUAUUACAUCAAUCCAAACAUUUCCUCUUCAAAAUUCAUCCAAAGUGUACAACUUAACUCAAAAAACGGCCUUUAAAUGCAACUUAAUUGGCUUUAACAAUGUGUAUAGGCCUACGACGGUUCAACUUACAAUAACAAUACAGUACACCUAACGCAUUUUCGUACAUCAUUUCCAACUCUUGUACCUUUUUUUACCAAUCCUAAGACAAUUAAAUCAGUUUACAUACAUUGUGAUUCAAAAAUAACUCAUUUUCAACGAAAAAACUCUGAAAACGAACACUUAUUCACGUAUUAUUUUCCCAGUAAAUAUUAAAGGAAAAAAUAGUCAGACACCCAUCACUACCUGUAUUACCACUUCUUAGAGACUGGGAACUAGACAUAGACGGUUGCCAUAUGUAAACAACAUGUCCUGAGCAUUUGAGUACAAAGUACACGAUCUUUGAGCAUCUAAAACUCUACCAAAGGAUCUCUAACUGUUGAAACAAGAACUGGCACCCAAAGCAAACAUUUUGAGGGAGACCGCUAAUAACAAAGGGCUGGAUGACUCGGUUGUGUGCCGGCAUAAUUUAUCCAUGUGUGCUGGCAGAAGGACUUCAGGAGAAGUACUCCAGGCAGAAACUCCUCAGCAAUUAUCUUGAAUUGGCACCGCUAUGAAAAAGCUGAGCUGGAGAGUUCAAUCAACCCCCAAAUUUAUUGGUCUUUGUAGGAAAGUUACACUCGCCAAGAGGAUCGGUUAAGACACAAUACUUGAGUAUGAGUAAUUCCAGCAACACUUUGUAUUGCAGCUUAGCAUUAGUACAAGAAAUAUGGAAAUGGCAAUUUGUUUUGUGCUUUCUGCUCAUAAGUUGGUUGUUGUACGCUUUGCCAGCAAUGGCACAAGUUACUUUAAAUAUUCUUCUGCCAGCACCAAUUAAUAUGUACCUUACAUCAACAGUCUACAUUAAAAGACUGAUUAAUAGUAAAGGUCUGUUUACAAAAUGUAAGACUUCAACAAAUUUACCUCAUUGCUUUUUUGCACACUUUAUUUGUAUUUUAAAACAUUUUCAGAGGAAGUGUGUUUGAGUCUAAAGCACAAUAUUGUAGGGCACCCGGGACUAGCAGAGAACAUGGCCGGGGAUGGAUCGGGGUGAUAGUCCAAGCCACGCCCCGCUACUGCCUUGCCGAGCAGGGGGACUUAUUUGUUGUACGACCCUGGCUUUCCCCUGGGGCCUGGACUACAAUAGGUGCAAACGAUCCAUAUCCCACAGGGCAAUUUAUAGCCAACCACUUUCAGACAAUACCCAAGAAGAAAAGUACAUUUCCAUCUGAGGUUUUACAUGUAGGGUUUGGUGUUCAAAACCAUGUUUGAAAAAAAGUACUUUGAUAUCAAAGUGUUUUGUUUGUGUGCACUGCAGCAUUUGACGACUCAAAGUUGCCGACAAAUUUACUUGUAUGUCAAGGCCAUUUAAGUAUCUUGAUGAUGAAGCCCUGUCAAAGUGUGUAUUUGUAAACAGACCUUUUCACAAUUCAUAAACAAAACAAAAAAAGCCUACCUUAAUAUCCUAGUAUUGAACAGUUUACAGAGUUGAAGUACGAGAAGCUUGUAGUAGAGAGAUGAUGACGUGUUUGAAGUCAUGAUGAAUCUGCAAUCUAAGUGUUCUCAUCAAAGCCCUGGUGCAUCUCCUGUGAGGAAACUGCUGCUCUUCAUCAUCUUAAUGAACCUGUACACAGGAAUAAAAGAAUAACAAAUUGUAUGAAUUAUAAGAGCCAAUGAUCAAAUUUGACAGUCUGUAUCUAAAUUUAACCUUUAUGUUCAAACAAAUAGUGUCUAUUUAUUAUACUGUUUUUAAUCUGUAUAGGCUACAAUGUUAUAACAAUUUCAUAUCCCAAUAGAAACCAGCUAAAUUUAAACCAAUAGUCUCUGAAGUAGAAUCGUUCACAAGUUUAGCCAACUAAUGUCUAUUAAAGUAAAUGGUUUACUUCAGUACCUUUUAAGUUUGUUUUAUGAAAGUGUUUGCUCUUGUGACAGCACUUUUGAUUAUUAAAGUAAAUAAAAAAACUAAAAUGGA